rnacentral:rRNA from 1 species
GAUGAACGCUGGCGGCGUGCCUAAUACAUGCAAGUCGAGCGAACAGACGAGAGUGCUUGCACUCUCUGACGUUAGCGGCGGACGGGUGAGUAACACGUGGGUAACCUACCUAUAAGACUGGGAUAACUUCGGGAAACCGGAGCUAAUACCGGAUAAUAUUUAGCUUCGCAUGAAGCAAUAGUGAAAGACGGUUCUGCUGUCACUUAUAGAUGGACCCGCGGUGUAUUAGCUAGAUGGUGAGGUAACGGCUCACCAAGGCAACGAUACAUAGCCGACCUGAGAGGGUGAUCGGCCACACUGGGACUGAGACACGGCCCAGACUCCUACGGGAGGCAGCAGUAGGGAAUCUUCCGCAAUGGGCGAAAGUCUGACGGAGCAAUGCCGCGUGAGUGAAGAAGGUUUUCGGAUCGUAAAACUCUGUUGUAAGGGAAGAACAAGUACGUUAGUAACUGAACGUACCUUGACAGUACCUUACCAGAAAGCCACGGCUAACUACGUG